GGAUGCUGAUGUUUCUAAUCAGAUAAUCCUUGUAGAGGACGUGCUGGCCAAGCUGUGUAAAACGGUGUAUCCACUAGCAGAUCUCUUAGCUAGGCCUCUACCUGAGGGAGUUGAUCCACUGAAACUUGAAAUUUAUCUUUCAGAUGAGGACUUUGGGGUGGCAUUAGAGAUGACAAGAGAAGAGUAUAAUGCACUGCCAUCUUGGAAGCAGGUUAAUCUGAAGAAGGCAAAAGGACUUUUCUAAGUUGUGUUUAUUGGAGUGAGCACUGAAGGGAUGUCUGUUUUCACUUUCUAUGCCCUUUAGAAGAAUUGUACCCCACAUUUGCAAAAUAAAUAGAAAUAAUCUGAAGUUAUUAGUGACUACCUAUCUGGAGGUGUGUAAUAUCAUAAAAGGCCGAGAGAACUCUUUGGAAAUGGAAUUUGGUUUUGACUGUUAAAGGUAAUGUGUUUAAGUUCUGCUCUCCUAUGCACUUAAACAGUAGUUUCUUGAGCUACUGCUGCAGGUGUCCUUUGACUAUAUACAAUACUUGCCAUUUUUGUUUUUGAAGAAGUUCUCUUUGUAAAGUGUUAUUUUGUUAGUUUGUGGAUUACAAAGAAUUUAUAUUUAUAUAAACACAUAGAACAAGUAUGUAUUUAACAAUGCAAUAUAUAUUCACUUUCAAGACUUUCAUGUCAAAACUACAGAAAAGUAGCUGGAUGGCAGUUGCUUGUACUGAAUUAGCUAUACCACCAAUAUGUAUCUCUUGCGCAUUCUGAAAAGUUUAUCUUGCAAUAGUUAAUGAAUUGUUCUCAGUGCUGCUUCAGGUGCUAAACUGAACAAAGCGUUUGUAUUUAUAGCAUGGAUUUCUUGAGAAACUAUGCGAAUCAACCUUUAUACUUUAUUAUCCAAAAAUGUAUAGUGCCUUGUUUUUUGUGUACAGUUUAUAUACAAAAAAAAAAAAGAUUGGUCUGCAUUUUGAAGAUAGCUUAGAACAGUCCUCUAUGUUACUUUUAUAAUAGUAGAAAUAAAAACAUCUCAGUUUCUAAUACUUGUUGUAAACAUUAAACAUGUCUUUUGUGAUAUAAGAACUGAAAGUAAAAGCUUCUGAAUAAACUCUUAGCGAUGC